UUCGUGUCUGGCGAUGCGGCGGUGUUCGGGUUCCGCUGGCGGAUGCAGGUUUUUCCGGUGAAGUGCGUGCUUGUGCGUGCUUGACAAGUGUUCGCGAUUGGCUUCCUCAGUGUGGGAGUAACAUCGUGUAAGAGAGGUGGAACCCGUAAAAUUGUAGUUUGCGUGGUGGCUGGUAAGAUUUGUUGCGGUAAGAAGUUUGCAUGGUGGUAAAAUGUCUUGUGAGUCUGCACAGGUAGCCGGAGGUGAGACUUCCGCGGUCGCGGCCCACCCAGUCCGCGAGAACCGGGCAGAUCGCCUCGACGGUACGGAGGCCGGCCGACGGGUCCGCCAAACGACGAGACCACGCCUCCAGCACGGACUGCCGAUAUUGGAGCCCCCGCGCUCCGGCUGCACUUGCGCUAGGGCGCGCCGCCUCGUAGGAGACUGUGAGGUAUCAUUGAAUAACUGCGAUCGCGCGCUGCCGGCGUCGCAGCGCGGCGACGUUCUCGUGGGUAAGGACGUGGCAUCAGACGGGUGCUCCGUAUAGUGCCAUCGACCGCACGGGUACCAUCACCCUGCCUAUUUCUGCCGUGAAGCAGUGGUGUAUUUCGGUUUGAAGGGUGGGGCAGCGGUUGUAACUAUACUGAGACCUUAGAACUUCUAUCUCAAGGUGUGUGGUGCGUUUGCGCUGUGGAUGUCUAUGGGUUCCAAUAACCACUUAACACAAGGUGGGCUGUGAGCUCGUCCACACAUUAAUACGAAGAGCAUAAUCAAACGAAUUUAGAUACGAAGUUUAAAGGGCCGUUUAAAGUAGUUGAAGUAUUGGGUGGUGUCGAUUUAAUUUUGACUCUCACACAUUCGCUUAAGGCUCGAGCUACUACUUGCCUCACAAAAAUACAGCCUGCAAAACCUGAACAACCUCCUCAUCCGUGGGCGCCCGGCUCUCGCCUGCAAGUCGGCUGUUACGUGUGCGGUGAUGCGAGCCAUGUAGCUUCUGGGUGUUCCAUGCGCUACAAGAAGAAAAACGACACUGCUCCAGGUGCUGUGGCAGGUCCAACCAGAGACUUCAACGUGUGUUCCAGAGCUUCAGUGUGUUACAGAUAAGUGGUUUUGGCUCCCCCUUUAUGUUCCAUUCAGGGUCAGAAUGUAGUCUUAUAAAACAAAGCCAUAGUAAUUUAUUCAAUGGUAAGCGGUUUCAUGAACAAGUCACCGUAGUCACCCUAGACACGUCCUUACGGAUCCAUCAGAUCCAAUAACUCUUGCAUUAGAUACCUUCAGCUCUAACACUAGGAGCAGGCUGAGGAACCCCAGUAAUCGUACUCGUCGAACUCGACAAAGAGGUCGACGUGCAACCUAACCCAUGCAUCAGCCCACUGAGUUUCUCGCCGGAUCUUCUCAGUGGGUCGCGAUUCCGAUCCGGUAGUAGAUUCAUUCGCGAAGCAAUUGCUCUUGAGUUGUUAGGUCUCCUGCGGAGGCGCUCGGGCAGUUGUUAGCAAAUCCCACCCCUCUUGGCUGAGCCUUUGCUCGCCCACCCGUCCUGGUGAAGCGGGAAAGGCCUCCGGGCCACCAGUAAUCUUUCAAUCAUCUGCAGUUUUGGAAAACGAUAGGUAUAAGUUGAGACAUGUAAAUGGUUCUAGUGUACAAAGUUCCCCAUGAAAACUUACGCGAAGUACCUCGAGGCCCGUCAGGCCUACUAGAAAUUUCUGAAAAUUAUAGUGACGAUGACGUGACGGCGUACACAGAUGGGUUAAGUAAUCUUGUUCAUGAAACUGAUCUUAAUGAUGACGACUCUAUCACUGACAAUAGAAGCGACAUUUUUGUCCGCAAAUAGCGAUACAGCAAACAUAGUCUGUGGGUAGUGAUACAAUGUCUCUAAGCUCAGGCGCCUCAGGUGCAGGUGUUGGAAAUGUAGAAAACGAUGGUCGGUCUCGCACUAUUUCUGAAGAAAUUCCGUAUAAAUGUUCUAGUUUAAGAAAUGUUUUAACAAACGCUACCGUACACGCAGAUAAAAAAAAAAAAAAAAGAAAAAAAAAAGAGAAUUGUAUGUGGCUAGAGAGAUGUUAAUCCGGACUAGCAAAAAAAAAAAGAGAGAAAAAAAAAAAAAAAGAAAGUGUGAAGUCAUUGAAGGGUUUGUCCGGUCCAAUGGCUUGGCUAUAGGGAUUUUCAUCCAGAUUAGCCACAACAAUUAGCUACAGGGAUUGCGAUUCGGUCUAGCAUUAUCCGGUCCAGUUCGAAAAAACUGAAGGGAUAACAAUUCCGGUCUAAGUUAAAGUUAAAGGGACAUACUUACAUACCUGAAGAGUUUUAAAUGAACUGGCCCAGGUAUGUAAGCAGUCUGAAGGUUAUUUAUAGCCAGUAUAGGAUUUUCUGAAGAAUUAUGCGAACCGAACCGUACUAGAUUGUUAAUAUCAUAGACCACGUUUUAAGUUGCAUCCGUUAAUGUCAGGAUGAACGAACACGUUUGUUGUUCACAGACAUACCAUAAGAAUGCGCGCACGAGGACGAGCGCACGUCAGUAUGGCCGUGACGGCGUUAACGAUAUUUAUGUUAUUAUAACACGUGCAAUAGGAGUGACUCACACAAGCCAGGCGCGCCGGCCGUGUCGUUCCACUCGUAAACAACAGCUGCAACAGAAGUGACUCAUAAGCCAGCUGCGCCGGCUAGUAUAAAAAGGCGGAACGUGCCUUGAAAUGAACAUUCGUUGGACUGCGCUUGCCUGGUGCACUUACUAUAUUCUCGUUACGUUGUGUGAUUCAGUGACUGUUGUACGUACUGGUUAAAGUUGGACAAAGUGUUAAAGUGAAUUGUUAAGAUAACAUAUUGUUGAUUAAAUCGGGAAUCAAAUAGUGA